UUACCUGAGUGUGAGUUGACUGGCUGUCUU
rnacentral:piRNA from 1 species